rnacentral:rRNA from 1 species
UGCCAGCAGCCGCGGUAAUACGGAGGGUGCAAGCGUUAAUCGGAAUUACUGGGCGUAAAGAGCAUGUAGGCGGACUGUUAAGUCUGGCGUGAAAGCCCGGGGCUCAACCUCGGAAUAGCGCUUGAUACUGAACUGCUUGAGACCGGAAGAGGGUAGUGGAAUUCCCAGUGUAGAGGUGAAAUUCGUAGAUAUUGGGAAGAACACCAGUGGCGAAGGCGGCUACCUGGUCCGGAUCUGACGCUGAGGCGCGAAAGCGUGGGGAGCAAACAGGAUUAGAUA